rnacentral:rRNA from 1 species
AAUCUUCCACAAUGGACGAAAGUCUGAUGGAGCAACGCCGCGUGAGUGAAGAAGGUUUUCGGAUCGUAAAGCUCUGUUGUUGGUGAAGAAGGAUAGAGGUAGUAACUGGCCUUUAUUUGACGGUAAUCAACCAGAAAGUCACGGCUAACUACGUGCCAGCAGCCGCGGUAAUACGUAGGUGGCAAGCGUUGUCCGGAUUUAUUGGGCGUAAAGCGAGCGCAGGCGGAAGAAUAAGUCUGAUGUGAAAGCCCUCGGCUUAACCGAGGAACUGCAUCGGAAACUGUUUUUCUUGAGUGCAGAAGAGGAGAGUGGAACUCCAUGUGUAGCGGUGGAAUGCGUAGAUAUAUGGAAGAACACCAGUGGCGAAGGCGGCUCUCUGGUCUGCAACUGACGCUGAGGCUCGAAAGCAUGGGUAGCGAACAGGAUUAGAUACCCUGGUAGUCCAUGCCGUAAACGAUGAGUGCUAAGUGUUGGGAGGUUUCCGCCUCUCAGUGCUGCAGCUAACGCAUUAAGCACUCCGCCUGGGGAGUACGACCGCAAGGUUGAAACUCAAAGGAAUUGACGGGGGCCCGCACAAGCGGUGGAGCAUGUGGUUUAAUUCGAAGCAACGCGAAGAACCUUACCAGGUCUUGACAUCUAGUGCCAUCCUAAGAGAUUAGGAGUUCCCUUCGGGGACGCUAAGACAGGUGGUGCAUGGCUGUCGUCAGCUCGUGUCGUGAGAUGUUGGGUUAAGUCCCGCAACGAGCGCAACCCUUGUUAUUAGUUGCCAGCAUUAAGUUGGGCACUCUAAUGAGACUGCCGGUGACAAACCGGAGGAAGGUGGGGAUGACGUCAAGUCAUCAUGCCCCUUAUGACCUGGGCUACACACGUGCUACAAUGGGCAGUACAACGAGAAGCGAGCCUGCGAAGGCAAGCGAAUCUCUGAAAGCUGUUCUCAGUUCGGACUGCAGUCUGCAACUCGACUGCA